UACGUAGGGUGCGAGCGUUAAUCGGAAUUACUGGGCGUAAAGCGUGCGCAGGCGGUUUUGUAAGCCAGAUGUGAAAUCCCCGGGCUUAACCUGGGAAUGGCAUUUGGGACUGCAAGGCUUGAGUGCGGCAGAGGAGACUGGAAUUCCCGGUGUAGCGGUGAAAUGCGUAGAGAUCGGGAGGAACAUCUGUGGCGAAGGCGGCCAUCUGGACCAUUACUGACGCUGAGGCACGAAAGCGUGGGGAGCAAACAGG
rnacentral:rRNA from 1 species